rnacentral:rRNA from 1 species
GAAACAUCUUCGGGUUGUGAGGUUAAGCGACUAAGCGUACACGGUGGAUGCCCUGGCAGUCAGAGGCGAUGAAGGACGUGCUAAUCUGCGAUAAGCGUCGGUAAGGUGAUAUGAACCGUUAUAACCGGCGAUUUCCGAAUGGGGAAACCCAGUGUGAUUCGUCACACUAUCAUUAACUGAAUCCAUAGGUUAAUGAGGCGAACCGGGGGAACUGAAACAUCUAAGUACCCCGAGGAAAAGAAAUCAACCGAGAUUCCCCCAGUAGCGGCGAGCGAACGGGGAGCAGCCCAGAGCCUGAAUCAGUGUGUGUGUUAGUGGAAGCGUCUGGAAAGGCGCGCGAUACAGGGUGACAGCCCCGUACACAAAAAUGCACAUGCUGUGAGCUCGAUGAGUAGGGCGGGACACGUGGUAUCCUGUCUGAAUAUGGGGGGACCAUCCUCCAAGGCUAAAUACUCCUGACUGACCGAUAGUGAACCAGUACCGUGAGGGAAAGGCGAAAAGAACCCCGGCGAGGGGAGUGAAAAAGAACCUGAAACCGUGUACGUACAAGCAGUGGGAGCACGCUUAGGCGUGUGACUGCGUACCUUUUGUAUAAUGGGUCAGCGACUUAUAUUCUGUAGCAAGGUUAACCGAAUAGGGGAGCCGAAGGGAAACCGAGUCUUAACUGGGCGUUAAGUUGCAGGGUAUAGACCCGAAACCCGGUGAUCUAGCCAUGGGCAGGUUGAAGGUUGGGUAACACUAACUGGAGGACCGAACCGACUAAUGUUGAAAAAUUAGCGGAUGACUUGUGGCUGGGGGUGAAAGGCCAAUCAAACCGGGAGAUAGCUGGUUCUCCCCGAAAGCUAUUUAGGUAGCGCCUCGUGAAUUCAUCUCCGGGGGUAGAGCACUGUUUCGGCAAGGGGGUCAUCCCGACUUACCAACCCGAUGCAAACUGCGAAUACCGGAGAAUGUUAUCACGGGAGACACACGGCGGGUGCUAACGUCCGUCGUGAAGAGGGAAACAACCCAGACCGCCAGCUAAGGUCCCAAAGUCAUGGUUAAGUGGGAAACGAUGUGGGAAGGCCCAGACAGCCAGGAUGUUGGCUUAGAAGCAGCCAUCAUUUAAAGAAAGCGUAAUAGCUCACUGGUCGAGUCGGCCUGCGCGGAAGAUGUAACGGGGCUAAACCAUGCACCGAAGCUGCGGCAGCGACGCUGAUGCGUUGUUGGGUAGGGGAGCGUUCUGUAAGCCUGCGAAGGUGUGCUGUGAGGCAUGCUGGAGGUAUCAGAAGUGCGAAUGCUGACAUAAGUAACGAUAAAGCGGGUGAAAAGCCCGCUCGCCGGAAGACCAAGGGUUCCUGUCCAACGUUAAUCGGGGCAGGGUGAGUCGACCCCUAAGGCGAGGCCGAAAGGCGUAGUCGAUGGGAAACAGGUUAAUAUUCCUGUACUUGGUGUUACUGCGAAGGGGGGACGGAGAAGGCUAUGUUGGCCGGGCGACGGUUGUCCCGGUUUAAGCGUGUAGGCUGGUUUUCCAGGCAAAUCCGGAAAAUCAAGGCUGAGGCGUGAUGACGAGGCACUACGGUGCUGAAGCAACAAAUGCCCUGCUUCCAGGAAAAGCCUCUAAGCAUCAGGUAACAUCAAAUCGUACCCCAAACCGACACAGGUGGUCAGGUAGAGAAUACCAAGGCGCUUGAGAGAACUCGGGUGAAGGAACUAGGCAAAAUGGUGCCGUAACUUCGGGAGAAGGCACGCUGAUAUGUAGGUGAAGUCCCUCGCGGAUGGAGCUGAAAUCAGUCGAAGAUACCAGCUGGCUGCAACUGUUUAUUAAAAACACAGCACUGUGCAAACACGAAAGUGGACGUAUACGGUGUGACGCCUGCCCGGUGCCGGAAGGUUAAUUGAUGGGGUCAGCGCAAGCGAAGCUCUUGAUCGAAGCCCCGGUAAACGGCGGCCGUAACUAUAACGGUCCUAAGGUAGCGAAAUUCCUUGUCGGGUAAGUUCCGACCUGCACGAAUGGCGUAAUGAUGGCCAGGCUGUCUCCACCCGAGACUCAGUGAAAUUGAACUCGCUGUGAAGAUGCAGUGUACCCGCGGCAAGACGGAAAGACCCCGUGAACCUUUACUAUAGCUUGACACUGAACAUUGAGCCUUGAUGUGUAGGAUAGGUGGGAGGCUUUGAAGUGUGGACGCCAGUCUGCAUGGAGCCGACCUUGAAAUACCACCCUUUAAUGUUUGAUGUUCUAACGUGGACCCGUAAUCCGGGUUGCGGACAGUGUCUGGUGGGUAGUUUGACUGGGGCGGUCUCCUCCUAAAGAGUAACGGAGGAGCACGAAGGUUGGCUAAUCCUGGUCGGACAUCAGGAGGUUAGUGCAAUGGCAUAAGCCAGCUUGACUGCGAGCGUGACGGCGCGAGCAGGUGCGAAAGCAGGUCAUAGUGAUCCGGUGGUUCUGAAUGGAAGGGCCAUCGCUCAACGGAUAAAAGGUACUCCGGGGAUAACAGGCUGAUACCGCCCAAGAGUUCAUAUCGACGGCGGUGUUUGGCACCUCGAUGUCGGCUCAUCACAUCCUGGGGCUGAAGUAGGUCCCAAGGGUAUGGCUGUUCGCCAUUUAAAGUGGUACGCGAGCUGGGUUUAGAACGUCGUGAGACAGUUCGGUCCCUAUCUGCCGUGGGCGCUGGAGAACUGAGGGGGGCUGCUCCUAGUACGAGAGGACCGGAGUGGACGCAUCACUGGUGUUCGGGUUGUCAUGCCAAUGGCACUGCCCGGUAGCUAAAUGCGGAAGAGAUAAGUGCUGAAAGCAUCUAAGCACGAAACUUGCCCCGAGAUGAGUUCUCCCUGACUCCUUGAGAGUCCUGAAGGAACGUUGAAGACGACGACGUUGAUAGGCCGGGUGUGUAAGCGCAGCGAUGCGUUGAGCUAACCGGUACUAAUGAACCGUGAGGCUUAACCUU